rnacentral:rRNA from 1 species
ACAGCAGCAGCCGCGGUAAUACGUAGGUGGCAAGCGUUGUCCGGAAUUAUUGGGCGUAGAGCGCGCGCAGGUGGUUUAAUAAGUCUGAUGUGAAAGCCCACGGCUCAACCGUGGAGGGUCAUUGGAAACUGUUAAACUUGAGUGCAGGAGAGAAAAGUGGAAUUCCUAGUGUAGCGGUGAAAUGCGUAGAGAUUAGGAGGAACACCAGUGGCGAAGGCGGCUUUUUGGCCUGCAACUGACGCUGAGGCUCGAAAGCCAGGGGAGCGAACGGGAUUAGAUACCCGCGUAGUCCCUGUCUCUUAUAC